GUAGUCAUACGCUCGUCUCAAAGAUUAAGCCAUGCAUGUGUAAGUAUAAAUAUUUAACUUUGAAACUGCGAAUGGCUCAUUAUAUCAGUUAUAGUUUAUUUGAUGAAAAGUACUACUUGGAUAACCGUAGUAAUUCUAGAGCUAAUACAUGAUAAAAUCCUCGACUUUGAAGAGGUGUAUUUAUUAGAAUGAAACCAAUAGACUUCGGUCUGUUUGUGAGUAAUAAUAACUAAUCGUAUCGCAUGCUUAGGUAGCGAUAUGUCUUUCAAGUUUCUGCCCUAUCAGCUUUGGAUGGUAGUGUAUUGGACUACCAUGGCAGUAACGGGUAACGAAGAAUUUGGGUUCGAUUUCGGAGAGGGAGCCUGAGAGAUGGCUACCACAUCCAAGGAAGGCAGCAGGCGCGUAAAUUACCCAAUCCUGACAUAGGGAGGUAGUGACAAUAAAUCACAAUGCGGAACUAUUAGUUUUGCAAUUGGAUUGAGAACAAUGUACAAAUGUUAUCGAUAAACAAUUGGAGGGCAAGUCUGGUGCCAGCAGCCGCGGUAAUUCCAGCUCCAAUAGCG
rnacentral:rRNA from 1 species